rnacentral:rRNA from 1 species
UACGUAGGGACCAAGCGUUGUCCGGAAUUACUGGGCGUAAAGAGCUCGUAGGUGGUUUGUCGCGUUGUUCGUGAAAUCUCACGGCUUAACUGUGAGCGUGCGGGCGAUACGGGCAGACUGGAGUACUGCAGGGGAGACUGGAAUUCCUGGUGUAGCGGUGGAAUGCGCAGAUAUCAGGAGGAACACCGGUGGCGAAGGCGGGUCUCUGGGCAGUAACUGACGCUGAGGAGCGAAAGCGUGGGGAGCGAACAGG